UUGGAGGGCAAGUCUGGUGCCAGCAGCCGCGGUAAUUCCAGCUCCAAUAGCGUAUAUUAAAGUUGUUGCAGUUAAAAAGCUCGUAGUUGAAUUUCGAGAUCGGCUUACUGGUCGUGCUAUUGUACGUACUGGUAUAAUCGGUUUCUCCUUUCUGACGAACUAUAAUGCCAUUAAUUUGGUGUUUUAGGGAAUCAGGACUGUUACUUUGAAAAAUUAGAGUGUUUAAAGCAGGCUCACGCUUGAAUACAUUAGCAUGGAAUAACGGAAUAGGACGUUUGAUUCUAUUUUGUUGGUUUCUAGGAUCGACGUAAUGAUUAAUAGGGAUAGUUGGGGGCAUUAGUAUUCAAUUGUCAGAGGUGAAAUUCUUGGAUUUAUUGAAGACUAACUACUGCGAAAGCAUUUGCCAAGGAUGUUUUCAUUAAUCAAGAACGAAAGUUAGGGGAUCGAAGACGAUCAGAUACCGUCGUAGUCUUAACCAUAAACUAUGCCGACUAGGGAUCGGAUGAUGUUAAUUUUUAAUGUACUCAUUCGGCGCCUUACGGGAAAC
rnacentral:rRNA from 1 species